AUGAAUGCCUCCGGUGGUGUACCGGGAUGGUGCAAUGAAUCAAGAGUGACAUGUAUGAAAAAUUAUGCAUGGUGGCUUUGCCACAAAUACAAUUUUAACUACAUGAUCAUGCAAUGGCAAUAUGACAAAAGUAAAGUAUGUCAUGAUGAUGAUGAACGGGACGGUGGAAAGUUGCAUGGCAAUAUAUCUCGGAAUGGCUAUGGAAAUGCCAUAAUAGGUACGUAUGGUGUCUGUUUUGAGGAAGAUAUCAGGAGGUUUAAGUGUGAUAGAGCGUAUCGUAUCAUGUGGUUUGGAUGCACCGGCAAAGUUUGCACCAACUCUCAAGGUGAGAAAGGGCAAUGCACGGUACCGAAGAGGCUAGCAAUGGUGGAAAGGUAA
rnacentral:rRNA from 1 species